GAUGAACGCUAGCGGCAGGCCUAACACAUGCAAGUCGAGGGGUAGAGUUAGCUUGCUAACUUGAGACCGGCGCACGGGUGCGUAACGCGUAUGCAAUCUACCUUGUACAGAGGGAUAGCCCAGAGAAAUUUGGAUUAAUACCUCAUAGUGUUAUAGAGUGGCAUCACUUUAUGACUAAAGUUCCAACGGUACAAGAUGAGCAUGCGUCCCAUUAGUUAGUUGGUGUGGUAACGGCACACCAAGACGAUGAUGGGUAGGGGUCCUGAGAGGGAGAUCCCCCACACUGGUACUGAGACACGGACCAGACUCCUACGGGAGGCAGCAGUGAGGAAUAUUGGGCAAUGGAGGCAACUCUGACCCAGCCAUGCCGCAUGCAGGAAGACGGUCCUAUGGAUUGUAAACUGCUUUUGUACGGGAAGAAACCCCAGGACGUGUCCUGGGUUGACGGUACCGGAGGAAUAAGCACCGGCUAACUUCGUG
rnacentral:rRNA from 1 species